AACGAACGCUGGCGGCAUGCCUAACACAUGCAAGUCGAACGAGAUCUUCGGGUCUAGUGGCGCACGGGUGCGUAACGCGUGGGAAUCUGCCCUUUGGUUCGGAAUAACAGUUGGAAACGACUGCUAAUACCGGAUGAUGACGAAAGUCCAAAGAUUUAUCGCCAGAGGAUGAGCCCGCGUAGGAUUAGCUAGUUGGUGUGGUAAAGGCGCGCCAAGGCGACGAUCCUUAGCUGGUCUGAGAGGAUGAUCAGCCACACUGGGACUGAGACACGGCCCAGACUCCUACGGGAGGCAGCAGUGGGGAAUAUUGGACAAUGGGCGAAAGCCUGAUCCAGCAAUGCCGCGUGAGUGAUGAAGGCCUUAGGGUUGUAAAGCUCUUUUACCCGGGAUGAUAAUGACAGUACCGGGAGAAUAAGCUCCGACUAACUCCGUGCCAGCCGCCGCAGUAA
rnacentral:rRNA from 1 species